rnacentral:rRNA from 1 species
GGAUCAUUAAAGAGUUGCAAAACUCCCAAACCCUCUGUAGAUCUACCCGUUCUCAGUUGCUUCGGCAGGCGGCCCCAGGGCGGGGCUCCUCGGCCUUUUUGGUGCCUGCCGGAGGGAUUUUAAAACUCGUUAUUUUUGUGUCAUCUGAGUUCAAAAAGACAAUGAAAAAAAACUUUCAACAACGGAUCUCUUGGUUCUGGCAUCGAUGAAGAACGCAGCGAAAUGCGAUAAGUAAUGUGAAUUGCAGAAUUUAGUGAAUCAUCGAAUCUUUGAACGCAUAUUGCGCCCAUUAGUAUUCUAGUGGGCAUGCCUGUUCGAGCGUCAUUGCAACCCUCAAGCCCUUUUCUUUUGCUUGUUCUUUUUGAACUUGCCGGGGAAAAAUUUGGCUUGGUUCUGGGGCGUAUCUACGAAAGUCUCCUGGGCCUUAAGUGGCCUAUCAAGGUGCUGUAGGCCCUGAAAAUUAGUGGCGGGCUCGCCGAGACCCCGAGCGCAGUAAUUUCUCUCGCUUACGGGCCGUCGCGGAGGGUUUUUCCAGCCGUAAAACACCCCAAAAUACGUACUAGAUUGACCUCGGAUCAGGUAGGGGAUACCCGCUGAACUUAAGCAUAUCAAUAAGCGGAGGAAAAGAAACCAACAGGGAUUGCCCUAGUAACGGCGAGUGAAGCGGCAACAGCUCAAAUUUGAAAUCUGGCUUCGGCCCGAGUUGUAAUUUGUAGAGGAUGCUUUUGGCAAGGUGCCUUCUGAGUUCUCUGGAAUGAGACGCCAUAGAGGGUGAGAGCCUCGUAUAGUCGGACACCAAGCCUCUGUAAAGCGCCUUCGACGAGUCGAGUAGUUUGGGAAUGCUGCUCUAAAUGGGAGGUAAAUUUCUUCUAAAGCUAAAUACCGGCCAGAGACCGAUAGCGCACAAGUAGAGUGAUCGAAAGAUGAAAAGCACUUUGAAAAGAGGGUUAAACAGCACGUGAAAUUGUUGAAAGGGAAGCGCUUGUGACCAGACUUGUGCCAUGUGAAUCAUCCAGCGUUCUCGCUGGUGCACUUCGCAUGGUUCAGGCCAGCGUCGGUUUUUCCAGGGAGAUAAAAGCUCCGGGAAUGUGGCUCCUCCGGGAGUGUUAUAGCCCGCUGCAAAAUAUCCCUAGAGGGACCGAGGU